CGGGGCAAUCGGCACUGUUGGUCAACUACUGUAUUUUACCUUCGCAGAAGUAGAACGCCUUUAUCUAAAGGCGAAAUGGGAUUUUGAGUGCCGGGAUGGGGGGCAGGGGGGCGGAAGUUCGAAUCUUCUCGCCCCGACCA
rnacentral:tRNA from 1 species